rnacentral:rRNA from 1 species
CUUCUGCAACUAAAUUGAGUAUAGAAGGUCCAGCCUGCCCAGUGACUACGGGUUCAACGGCCGCGGUAUUUUGACCGUGCAAAGGUAGCGCAAUCACUUGUCUCUUAAAUAGAGACCUGUAUGAAUGGCUAGACGAGGGCUUAACUGUCUCCUCUAUCAAGUCAGUGAAAUUGAUCUAUCCGUGCAGAAGCGGGUAUGACUCUAC